CCCCUUCUGCUGCCAGAAUAGGAGGAAGCUCUGAACUCCCAUCAACCCCAGCCAGCAGAAGCCACCCUCCUGCUCCCAUAGGAAACUGGAGUGUCGCUAAAAUGUUCACCUGUAUGUGUGUUUUGAGUUUCUGUUCCUGUAUGUAUGUAGUGUUUGUGUGUGUGUGUGUGUGUCGUUGUUUGUAUCAGUGUAUGCAUAUGUACAUCUGUAUGUGUAUCUGUGUGCCUGUAUCUGAAUGUGUGUGUCAGUGUUUGUAUUUGUGUAUCAGCAUGUGU